AACUUUCCCUAUAGCACGAGUUGUAUGCACCAGUUCCCCGUGGAUUACUGAAGUUAAGCACAGUUGGGCGGUUCAUACACGGAUGGGUGACCAUCUGGGAAAUCUCGUGCUGAUGGCUU
rnacentral:rRNA from 1 species